CACGUAGGAGGCAAGCGUUAUCCGGAUUUACUGGGCGUAAAGCGCGUGCAGGUGGUUCGGUAAGUUGGAUGUGAAAGCUCCUGGCUUAACUAGGAGAGGUCGUUCAAAACUGCCGGACUUGAGAACAGUAGAGGGAGGUGGAAUUCCCGGUGUAGUGGUGAAAUGCGUAGAUAUCGGGAGGAACACCAGUGGCGAAAGCGGCCUCCUGGACUGUUUCUGACACUCAGACGCGAAAGCUAGGGUAGCAAACAGG
rnacentral:rRNA from 1 species